GAUAGCUCAGUUCGGAGAGCACCAUUCCGUACAAAUGGAGGUCGUGGGUCGAGUCCCACUAGAACGGGUCA